rnacentral:rRNA from 1 species
CAGUAGCCGCGGGAAUACGAAGGGUGCAAGCGUUAAUCGGAAUUACUGGGCGUAAAGCGCGCGUAGGUGGUUUGUUAAGUUGGAUGUGAAAUCCCCGGGCUCAACCUGGGAGCUGCAUUCAAAACUGACUGACUAGAGUAUGGUAGAGGGUGGUGGAAUUUCCUGUGUAGCGGUGAAAUGCGUAGAUAUAGGAAGGAACACCAGUGGCGAAGGCGACCACCUGGACUAAUACUGACACUGAGGUGCGAAAGCGUGGGGGGCAAACAGGAUUAGAUACCCGUGUAGUCCCUGUCUCUUAUAC